rnacentral:rRNA from 1 species
UAUGGGAAGAUAAUGACGGUACCAGAGGAAUAAGGGGCGGCAAACUUCGUGCCAGCAGCCGCGGUAAUACGAAGGCCCCAAGCGUUAUCCGGAAUUACUGGGCGUAAAGCGUCUGUAGGUGGUUCGGAAAGUCUCAAGUGAAAGGUCAGGGCUCAACCCUGUACUUGCUUGGGAAACUAUAGAACUUGAGUGCGGGAGAGGCAAGCAGAACUGUAUGAGUAGGGGUGCAAUCCGUUGAUACAUA